GCUCUCGUAGCUCAGAUGGAUAGAGCGACCGCCUCCUAAGCGGUAGGCCACUGGUUCGACUCCAGUCGAGAGCACCA
rnacentral:tRNA from 3 species